rnacentral:tRNA from 1 species
GGGUCCGUAGCUCAAUUGGUAGAGCUCUCGCCUUUUAAGCGAUAGGUUGUGGGAUCGUACCCCACCGGACCCACCA